UAUGGUUACACUUACAUGCGUUUGGAUGGUUCUACUCCGCCAGAAGAGAGACAAACUUUGAUGCAACGUUUCAACACGAAUCCAAAGAUUUUCCUGUUUAUUUUAUCAACCCGUAGUGGUGGAGUUGGCAUCAACUUGGUGGGUGCAGACACAGUCAUCUUUUAUGAUAGUGACUGGAACCCAGCUAUGGAUCAACAAGCG
rnacentral:misc_RNA from 1 species